CUGCCGCCUGCCGCCCGGACACUACUUGGUGGUGCCCAGCGCCGCCCGCGCCGGCGAGGAGGCCGACUUCACGCUGCGCAUCUUCUCCGAGCGUGGCCACACGGCGGUGGAGAUCGAUGACGUCAUCAGCGCGGACCUGGAGGCCCUGACGGUCCCCUAUGAGCCCCUGGAGCUGGAGCUGGUGCAGCUGUUUCUGGAGUUGGCUGGAGGGGAGGAGGAACUGGAUGCUUAUCAGCUGCACACCUUACUAAGCAUUGCCCUUGAGCCUGG